GUGUUAUUUGCUUUACUAGCCUAAUUAUUCAACUUAAACCCUUCUUAUGUGUGUCUUUCUUGCAUAUGUAUGUAUAUAUGUAUACUGUCACCUACAUGGGUUGCACGUCCAAUCAACAUGUAUGUAAAUGAAAAACAGAACUCAGUUAUUGAUUUUAAUAUGAAAAAGAAUUUUUUGUUAUAAUUCAUAAGCAAACAAAAAGCAUACGCUCCAUGUGCUGCUUCUGUCGCUGUUCAAACAUUCUAGAAUAAUGUGAUAAGGCAAUAAUAAACCCCAAGGAUACUUACCAUGAGUUCACAUAAGUUCACCUUUCCUAACUACACCCAGGAUCCCUCUAUAGGUGCACUAAUGAUUAAAGAUUAUAAAUAAUGUACGUUUAUAACUUAAUAAUGCAUACAGAGUUUCCAACAGGUUUUAUUGUGCUGAAUAUAUGAAUUGUAAGAUAUGGAAAAUGAUCUUUUAAAAACAUGUAUAUUCUUCUUUUAGACCCUUGACAUAAUGAAUGUGUGUGUAUAUACCCUAAACAUAAAUAAUAAAAGCCUGUGUACAUAAUGCA